rnacentral:rRNA from 1 species
GGUCCGAACGGUGAAGCAGGAGCUUGCUCUUGUGGAUCAGUGGCGAACGGGUCGAGUAACACGUGAGCAACCUGCCCCUGACUCUGGGAUAAGCGCUGGAAACGGCGUCUAAUACUGGAUAUGUGACGUGACCGCAUGGUCUGCGUUUGGAAAGAUUUUUCGGUUGGGGAUGGGCUCGCGGCCUAUCAGCUUGUUGGUGAGGUAAUGGCUCACCAAGGCGUCGACGGGUAGCCGGCCUGAGAGGGUGACCGGCCACACUGGGACUGAGACACGGCCCAGACUCCUACGGGAGGCAGCAGUGGGGAAUAUUGCACAAUGGGCGAAAGCCUGAUGCAGCAACGCCGCGUGAGGGAUGACGGCCUUCGGGUUGUAAACCUCUUUUAGCAGGGAAGAAGCGAAAGUGACGGUACCUGCAGAAAAAGCGCCGGCUAACUACGUGCCAGCAGCCGCGGUAAUACGUAGGGCGCAAGCGUUAUCCGGAAUUAUUGGGCGUAAAGAGCUCGUAGGCGGUUUGUCGCGUCUGCUGUGAAAUCCCGAGGCUCAACCUCGGGCCUGCAGUGGGUACGGGCAGACUAGAGUGCGGUAGGGGAGAUUGGAAUUCCUGGUGUAGCGGUGGAAUGCGCAGAUAUCAGGAGGAACACCGAUGGCGAAGGCAGAUCUCUGGGCCGUAACUGACGCUGAGGAGCGAAAGGGUGGGGAGCAAACAGCUUAGAUACCCUGGUAGUCCACCCCGUAAACGUUGGGAACUAGUUGUGGGGUCCAUUCCACGGAUUCCGUGACGCAGCUAACGCAUUAAGUUCCCCGCCUGGGGAGUACGGCCGCAAGGCUAAAACUCAAAGGAAUUGACGGGGACCCGCACA